AUUGAACGCUGGCGGCAGGCUUAACACAUGCAAGUCGAGCGGAGAUGAGGUGCUUGCACCUUAUCUUAGCGGCGGACGGGUGAGUAAUGCUUAGGAAUCUGCCUAUUAGUGGGGGACGACAUUCCGAAAGGAAUGCUAAUACCGCAUACGUCCUACGGGAGAAAGCAGGGGAUCUUCGGACCAUGCGCUUAUAGAUGAGCCUAAGUCGGAUUAUCUAUUUGGUGGGGUAAAGGCCUACCAAGGCGACGAGCUGUAGCGGGUCUGAGAGGAUGAUCCGCCACACUGGGACUGAGACACGGCCCAGACUCCUACGGGAGGCAGCAGUGGGGAAUAUUGGACAAUGGGGGGAACCCUGAUCCAGCCAUGCCGCGUGUGUGAAGAAGGCCUUAUGGUUGUAAAGCACUUUAAGCGAGGAGGAGGCUACUGAGACUAAUACUCUUGGAUAGUGGACGUUACUCGCAGAAUAAGCACCGGCUAACUCUGUGCCAGCCGCCGCGGUAAAAC
rnacentral:rRNA from 1 species